rnacentral:rRNA from 1 species
CCUACGUGGGGCAGCAGUGAGGAAUCUUGGUCAAUGGGCGCGAGCCUGAACCAGCCAAGUAGCGUGAAGGAUGACUGCCCUACGGGUUGUAAACUUCUUUUAUAAAGGAAUAAAGUGAGGCACGUGUGCCUUUUUGUAUGGACUUUAUGAAUAAGGAUCGGCUAACUCCGUGCCAGCAGCCGCGGUAAUACGGAGGAUCCGAGCGUUAUCCGGAUUUAUUGGGUUUAAAGGGAGCGUAGAUGGGUUGUUAAGUCAGUUGUGAAAGUUUGCGGCUCAACCGUAAAAUUGCAAUUGAUACUGGCAGUCUUGAGUACAGUUGAGGUAGGCGGAAUUCGUGGUGUAGCGGUGAAAUGCUUAGAUAUCACGAAGAACUCCGAUUGCGAAGGCAGCUUACUAAACUGCCACUGACAUUGAUGCUCGAAAGUGUGGGUAUCAAACAGGAUUAGAUACCCCAGUAGUC